CUCACUGCAACCUCCACCUCCCGGGUUCAAGUGAUUCUCGUGACAGGAGAUGGCUAGGGAGUAAGACUAGUGAAGUGACAUGGUGCUGAGCCCUGUGGGUUUUCUUACGUAUCCAAGACCAGGUGCUGAAGAAACCAGCUACCUAGAACACCAAGUGGUGCAGACAAAAAAGACCAGGAAAGCCUGGCGGAUACAGUGGUGCGUGCUUGCAGUCCAGCUAUCCAGGAGGCUGGGUCGGGAGGAUCGUUUGAGCCCGGAGUUCAAAUCCUACCUGGGCAACAUAGUAAGACCCCCAUCUCUAAACAAACAAACAAACAAAAGACCCAGAGACCCAGGGAAGCCUUUUCCCCUUAGCCAAAGGACCAGAGACGGGGUCUUGCUAUGCUGCUUCAGCUGGUCUUGAAUUCCUGGGCUGCUGGGAAAAAGUCUUGUGUGUGUGAUGGAUUGUAUGUUGUUUACUGAGAAAUGAUGGCAAGGAACACCGAGCCGUCCCCAUGCAGAAAACUGCUGGAAUAGUAAGCAAUAUGUACCAGUCAUGCACUAGUGAGACCAGUUCCCAAAACACAGGAUACAUGACCUUGUCACCAUUGCUGACUCACGAAAAGUGCUUUCUAGUUAUUUCUAUUUUAGUAGUGAACAGUCACUAUCUGCCUGUUUAGUCUACCUUUAUUAUAUGAAAAAACACUGAACACCUGCCAUUAAAAAUAAUCACUUGUUCACAAAUAAUAAAUACAUGCAUCAGAGUCUGCUCUGGGCUUUCAGCUGGGAAAUGCUGUCAGUCCCCUGAUGCCCCUCUCUGAUUUCCACUUUUGCGCUC